UACGUAGGUCCCGAGCGUUGUCCGGAUUUAUUGGGCGUAAAGCGAGCGCAGGUGGUUUAUUAAGUCUGGUGUAAAAGGCAGUGGCUCAACCAUUGUAUGCAUUGGGAACUACCGGGCUGGAGUGCCGGAGAGGUAGGCGGAAUUCCUAGUGUAGCGGUGAAAUGCGUAGAUAUUAGGAGGAACACCAGUGGCGAAGGCGGCCUACUGGACGGUGACUGACGCUGAGGCUCGAAAGCGUGGGGAGCAAACAGG
rnacentral:rRNA from 1 species